rnacentral:rRNA from 1 species
UACGUAGGUGGCAAGCGUUGUCCGGAUUUACUGGGCGUAAAGAGCGCGCAGGCGGUCGUUCACGGCGCGUGUGAAAGCCCCCGGCUCAACUGGGGAGGGUCACGCGAUACUGAUCGACUCGAAGGCAGGAGAGGGAAGUGGAAUUCCCGGUGUAGUGGUGAAAUGCGUAGAUAUCGGGAGGAACACCAGUGGCGAAGGCGACUUCCUGGCCUGUUCUUGACGCUGAGGCGCGAAAGCUAGGGGAGCAAACGGG